UACGGGGGGAGCAAGCGUUGUUCGGAUUUACUGGGCGUAAAGGGCGCGUAGGCGGUCAGCACAAGUCAGUUGUGAAAUCUCCGGGCUUAACUCGGAAAGGUCAACUGAUACUGUGCGACUAGAGUGCGGAAGGGGCAACUGGAAUUCUCGGUGUAGCGGUGAAAUGCGUAGAUAUCGAGAGGAACACCUGCGGCGAAGGCGGGUUGCUGGGUCGACACUGACGCUGAUGCGCGAAAGCCAGGGGAGCGAACGGG
rnacentral:rRNA from 1 species